CUGCCCUCUCCUCUUCCAUAUGUUCUCCUCUCCUUUCUCCACAACAACAGUAGCCAUGUCCCCUCUACUCUUCUCUCCCUCAUUCAUACACCCGAGAAGGAGAACCUACAUCUCAUGGACGCCCCUUCUCUCCCCUCCAAAAUCCUCUCCAUCAAAGAGCAGUGCUCUCACUGCUGCAAUUUGUUUUGCCACUGCACCAUUCAUUUUGAAGCCUAAACAUGUUCAUUACAUUGUUGUCAUCCUCUUCUAUACAGAGCUCAUAGGUUGCAACCAAGAUCAACCCAUCACCCACACUUGAUCUUGCAGCAACGUCGCCCUCAUCAUCUUAAGGUCAUGUUGUGCUGAUGCACCACUAAAUGGAUGCCACUUUGAUGUUCCUCCCCAUCUCACAAGCCUGCAGUACUUACCCAUGCUUAUCGCAGGUUAUCUUGCCGCUGAUCGUAAGCGUCAAUUCCCCAUCGAGGUCCUUGCCUGCUGCACAUAAUCCCCAUAUGAGAACCCACACUUUCCUCUCUGAAAUAUAUGUUGAUCUCUUCUGCAAUUUUUAUGUCAUAAAUCAUGAUUCCAUCGAUUAUAUGAUGUUAUAUUUCUAAGUGUGUUGCUGUCCCGUGCAAACAGCAGCUGCACGGUCAGUUGGCAUGCAUGUUCCCAUCAAUGUAUAAUCUCAUUUACAAAUUUCUUUGAACGACAUGUGUUUCAUAUCCUUGAGAACAUCUCAUAAAAAAUUCAUGGCCUUAGAGCUCAAUAUGAAAGAGAUAUAAAUGUUCUUGUG